rnacentral:rRNA from 1 species
ACUCAAAUGAAUUGACGGGCACCCGCACAAGCGGUGGAGCAUGCUGUUUAAUUCGAAAAUACGCGAAGAACCUUACCUAGGUUUGACAUCCCGUGCAAAGCUAUAGAGAUAUAGUGGAGGUUAUCACGGUGACAGAUGGUGCAUGGUUGUCGUCAGCUCGUGUCGUGAGAUGUUUGGUUAAGUCCAACAACGAGCGCAACCCCUAUUAUUAGUUGCUAACAUUUAGUUGAGAACCCUAAUAAUACUGCCGGUGUAAGCCGGAGGAAGGUGGGGAUGAGGUCAAAUCAUCAUGCCUCUUACAUCUAGGGCUACAGGCGUGCUACAAUGGCUGGUACAACGAGUCGCAACACGGUGACGUGAAGCUAAUCUCUGAAAGCCAGUCCCAGUUCGGAUUGGAGUCUGCAACUCGACUCCAUGAAGUUGGAAUCGCUAGUAAUCCCGAAUCAGAAUGUCGGGGUGAAUACGUUCUCGGGUGUUGUACACACCGCCCGU